rnacentral:rRNA from 1 species
AAGUCGUAACAAGGUCUCCGUAGGUGAACCUGCGGAGGGAUCAUUAUAGAAAAACAUAUUGAACCCGGAGGGGGGGAGAGAGUGUGAGCUCUCUUUUUCUUUCUGGGCAAACAACCAACACACAUGACUAGGAAAAAGAGACUGGAUUGGGCGAGGCGAGAGAGAUUCUCGCAAGAGAGAGAAAAGUUCUUGUCUGAUAAAGUAGCUUGCUGAUUUGGAGUUACUACAAUCAAUACAACUUUCAACAACGGAUCUCUUGGCUCUCACAUCGAUGAAGAACAUAGCAAAGUGUGAAAAUUAAUGUGAAUUGCAGAAUUCAGUGAAUCAUCGAGUUUUGAACGCAUCUUGCACUUCUUGGUAUUCCAAGGAGUAUGCCUGGUGAGUAAUGUUUAACCAAUCUAAUCAGUCUCUUGAUGGUGCUGUGCGGGGGGAGUCUCUCCGCCUCUAUCAAAGUAGAUUGGAAUUGAGUGUCUUACCUUGUCUGAAUCUGACAAGGUUCACUUGAAAUGCAGGGGAACAAGAUCUUGGGAUUCUUUCCCAAGACGUUGGCAUGGAGACUUGAUCCAUCUAACAAUGACUUGAUGAAUGAAUCUUGUCUCAUCUCAAAGUCUUGCUUAGAAAAGUCUCGGCUCUUUAACCAAGAGCAAGAACAACAUGCACUCUUGUUUCCACAACUAGGGAAGCGCGUCAAGAGGGAAAACUCUCUCUUGGCCCUCGAUUCUUCAUUCUCAACUCAGACAAGACUACCCGCUGAAUUUAA